rnacentral:rRNA from 1 species
GAUGAACGCUGGCGGCAUGCCUAAUACAUGCAAGUCGAACGAAUUAACCUUCGGGUUAAUUAGUGGCGAACGGGUGAGUAACACGUAGAUAACCAACCCUAAAGACGAGGAUAACCCGGGGAAACCUGGACUAAUACUGGAUAGAAGCUAUUUUCAGAAGGAGAUAGUUUUAAAGAUGCCCUUAAAGCAUCGCUAUAGGAUGGGACUGCGUCGCAUUAGCUAGUUGGUGGAGUAACGGCCCACCAAGGCGACGAUGCGUAGCUGGGCUGAGAGGCGGAACAGCCACACUGGGACUGAGACACGGCCCAGACUCCUACGGGAGGCAGCAGUAGGGAAUUUUCGGCAAUGGGCGAAAGCCUGACCGAGCAAUGCCGCGUGAAUGAAGAAGGUCUUCGGAUUGUAAAAUUCUUUUAUUGGGAAAGAAAGAUAUGGCUAGGAAAUGAGCUAUAUUUGACGGUACCCAUUGAAUAAGCCCCGGCUAACUACGUGCCAGCAGCCGCGG